rnacentral:rRNA from 1 species
GACGAACGCUGGCGGCGUGCUUAACACAUGCAAGUCGAACGAUGAAGCCGGAGCUUGCUCUGGUGAAUUAGUGGCGAACGGGUGAGUAACACGUGAGUAACCUGCCCUUGACUCUGGGAUAACUGCUAGAAAUGGUAGCUAAUACCGGAUACGACCCUCGGAGGCAUCUCCAGGGGGUGGAAAGAAUUUCGGUCAAGGAUGGACUCGCGGCCUAUCAGCUAGUUGGUGAGGUAAUGGCUCACCAAGGCGACGACGGGUAGCCGGCCUGAGAGGGUGACCGGCCACACUGGGACUGAGACACGGCUCAGACUCCUACGGGAGGCAGCAGUGGGGAAUAUUGCACAGUGGGCGCAAGCCUGAUGCAGCAACGCCGCGUGAGGGAUGACGGCCUUCGGGUUGUAAACCUCUUUUAGUAGGGAAGAAGCGAAAGUGACGGUACCUGCAGAAAAAGCACCGGCUAACUACGUGCCAGCCGCCGCGGUAA